rnacentral:rRNA from 1 species
UUGCUUCUUGGGUGACGAGCGGCGGACGGGUGAGUAAUGCAUAGGAAUCUGCCCGAUAGUGGGGGAUAACCUGGGGAAACCCAGGCUAAUACCGCAUACGUCCUACGGGAGAAAGGGGGCUCCGGCUCCCGCUAUGGGAUGAGCCUAUGUCGGAUUAGCUAGUUGGUGAGGUAACGGCUCACCAAGGCGACGAUCCGUAGCUGGUCUGAGAGGAUGAUCAGCCACAUCGGGACUGAGACACGGCCCGAACUCCUACGGGAGGCAGCAGUGGGGAAUAUUGGACAAUGGGCGCAAGCCUGAUCCAGCCAUGCCGCGUGUGUGAAGAAGGCCCUCGGGUUGUAAAGCACUUUCAGCGAGGAAGAACGCCUAGCGGUUAAUACCCGCUAGGAAAGACAUCACUCGCAGAAGAAGCACCGGCUAACUCCGUGCCAGCAGCCGCGGUAAUACGGAGGGUGCAAGCGUUAAUCGGAAUUACUGGGCGUAAAGCGCGCGUAGGUGGCUUGAUAAGCCGGUUGUGAAAGCCCCGGGCUCAACCUGGGAACGGCAUCCGGAACUGUCAGGCUAGAGUGCAGGAGAGGAAGGUAGAAUUCCCGGUGUAGC